rnacentral:rRNA from 1 species
UACGUAGGGUGCAAGCGUUGUCCGGAAUUAUUGGGCGUAAAGGGCUCGUAGGCGGUUUGUCGCGUCGGGAGUGAAAACCUACAGCUUAACUGUGGGCUUGCUUCCGAUACGGGCAGACUUGAGGCAUGCAGGGGAGAACGGAAUUCCUGGUGUAGCGGUGAAAUGCGCAGAUAUCAGGAGGAACACCGGUGGCGAAGGCGGUUCUCUGGGCAUGUUCUGACGCUGAGGAGCGAAAGUGUGGGGAGCGAACAGG